rnacentral:rRNA from 1 species
CCUACGGGGGGCAGCAGUGAGGAAUAUUGGUCAAUGGGCGGAAGCCUGAACCAGCCAAGUCGCGUGAGGGAAUAAGGCCCUACGGGUCGUAAACCUCUUUUGCCGAGGAGCAAGGGCCGGGACGCGUCCCGGCCCGGAGAGUACCCGGAGAAAAAGCAUCGGCUAACUCCGUGCCAGCAGCCGCGGUAAUACGGAGGAUGCGAGCGUUAUCCGGAUUUAUUGGGUUUAAAGGGUGCGUAGGCGGGCUUUUAAGUCAGCGGUAAAAAUUCGGGGCUCAACCCCGUCCGGCCGUUGAGACUGGGGGC